GUGGUUACACAAAUUGUUCCUUAAUUGUAUCACCCACACCACAGAUGUAUAUUGCUUCAUCUUCAGGCUGGAUGUUGGAAAUGCUAAGGUAGCGAUCAGCACCAGAGCUGGAUCCAGAGAAGCGAUCAGGAAUCCCAUCACCUGUGCUGUGGCUUCCAUCUUUCUUAAGCUCCAUCACAUACUUAGGAGGCUUGAGUGGCUGUUGCUGAUACCAUUCAAUGGUGUACGUACUGUGCUGACUACUCAAGGUGCACGUGAGUUUUGCUGAGGCUCCCAGGGAGAAAGAGGCUGAAGAUGACUGAGUGAGCACAAGUUGGGAGAAAGAACCUGAAAAUAGAGAAACUGUUUAUUUCCUGACAUUACAGACAGAUAUAGAAUGUAUCUGCCUCUCAGAUGAACUGAGGUUCAGGGUACAAAUGGUUCUCCUGACCUGAGCAAUGAAGAACAAAGAAGAAGAAGAGAGGAGUCCAGGCCAUAAUGCAGGUACUACUGAUCUCUGCUGAGACAGACAGGUUGUAGUUCUCUCUUAUCCUUCAAAAUUCUCAGAGAAAUGAGAGGGCCCUUCAUGCAAAUUUUAUUGGCCAAACAAAUCUUGUUUCAGGUGUGUGUGCUAUCAAAUGUCUGGGUGUUAUUUAUGGCCUGAGGUUUCCCAAGGGACAAGAGUGUGCCCAGCUGCUGAACAUGCUCAAUCCUGAGCAGUCACAAAGAGAUAGAGAUAUUUGUGUUCUAAUCUGAGAUUCUUCAGUGUUACCAAUAGAUCCCUUCUGGCAGGCUUAAUUGUAUUGUGUUUGUAUUCACAAGACUUUCCUCAAGAAAUUGGCCACUAAACACUUUCUCAUAAAGGUCAGGACUGGCAUCAUCUGAGGAUGACUUACAUUAUUGAUUUUUUGAUUGCUUGUCCUCAGUGGGAACACUAUGUAGACCAAUGGUUCCUAAUCUAUGUGUUCAAACUCUAAUAGAAAGCACUUACCCAAAAUCCUGCAUAUGACAUACAUUAUGAUUCAUUAUAGUAGUAAAUUACAGGUAUAAGAUUGCAAGAAAAUCAUUGAUGUUGUGGAUCAAUAUGACAUUUGUGAAUGUAUUAAAGAAUCUCAUCAUUAGAAAGGCUAGGAACUACUGAUGUAGAGUUUAAUUUAUGAAAACUUAAUUAUUAAUGAAUUUUUCUCACACAAACUGAAGUCAGAGAAUAUACCUUCAUGAAUUUCCCCUUCUUAUAACUUUCAAGGAUCCUAGACUCUCUCUAUAUGGUUCCUAAUCAUAUUCAUAUAUGGGGACACACCUGUGAAUAUUGGUAUCUAGAAGGAUACAUAUUAUACUGCAUGACUCCCUUGAUGCGCUAGAAAUAAAAGAUUUUAGAAAACUACAUGGCAAAUCCAAACAGAAAUUUUAAAUAAUGUAGUAUUUUGGUUGAAAAAAAUAUAGCAGUGUUUCCAUACUUGUCUUUAAAUAAAGAUUAAAGAAGACUGAUAAAAAUUAAAUGUA
rnacentral:lncRNA from 1 species